UACGGGAGGCAGCAGUGGGGAAUAUUGCACAAUGGGCGCAAGCCUGAUGCAGCCAUGCCGCGUGUAUGAAGAAGGCCUUCGGGUUGUAAAGUACUUUCAGUCGUGAGGAAGGUGUUAAGGUUAAUAACCUUAGCAAUUGACGUUAGCGACAGAAGAAGCACCGGCUAACUCCGUGCCAGCAGCCGCGGUAAUACGGAGGGUGCGAGCGUUAAUCGGAAUUACUGGGCGUAAAGGGCACGCAGGCGGUUAAUUAAGUUGGAUGUGAAAUCCCCGGGCUUAACCUGGGAAUGGCAUUUCAAGACUGGUUAGCUAGAGUCUUGUAGAGGGGGUAGAAUUCCAUGUGUAGCGGUGAAAUGCGUAGAGAUGUGGAGGAAUACCGGUGGCGAAAGGCGGCCCCUGGACAAAAGACUGACGCUCAUGUGCGAAAAGCGUGGGGAGCAAAACAGGAUUAGAUACC
rnacentral:rRNA from 1 species